AACGCACAUUGCGCCCCUCGGUAUUCCGGGGGGCAUGCCUGUUCGAGCGUCAUUGCACCCCUCAAGCGUAGCUUGGUAUUGGGCCUUCGCCUCCCCCGGCGUGCCCGAAAAGCAUUGGCGGUCCGGGAGGGUUCCCAGCGUAGUAAAUUACCAUCCGCUGUGGAGAGCUCCUCUCUGGGCCCGCCAGACAACCCCAUCUUCAAUGAAUUGACCUCGGAUCAGGUAGGGAUACCCGCUGAACUUAA
rnacentral:misc_RNA from 1 species